AGGUGACUGAAGGAAUUUUGUAAAAAAGUUAAUAAAUAAAGUUUUUAUAAAAAAAAUCCGGUUUUUUUGGGUCCCCCCUCGUAUGCCAAUUGAUGUGUAAAGUUUCGUGUACGUUGUCACCGCAAUUUUGUCCACGUCGGUUGCAGGACUUCUUCGCUCCCGCCUUCGUGCGGCAGCGGCCUUCCCUAGUUAGCUCAGUUUUUAUUUUUCUAAGAGCGAGUCAAAUCCCUUGCUGUUCCGCGUGGUAGAGCGUUGUGGUUCUUACACGUUCUUUCUCGAUACCGCGGACAUGUCGGAGAAGCGCCGGGAGAGAUAAUAAAUUAGAGACCCGCUUAACAUUUAGAUAACAAUACUUUAAUUCGAUUUAUUUCCAAUGGCAGGCAAUUACUCAAUUCUACAAAUAAUAAAUUAUGAUGAAUGUGGCAUAGGAAUAGCAACUCGUUAAUUCGCCUGAGUUCUUCACGUACAGACGACUAAAUUCAAUACCACGGGAUAUUUCGUAACGAGAUCAAAAGAGAGUGAUAUCUCGCCUGUGAUGUUCCGCGAGCUGUUGUUUACGGCGGAUCUGAGCCACUUGACGGCAGCUGUAAUAACGCGUGUCGUUUAACCGAAACGCUCUCUUGCCCGGCGUCGUUACGCGAAUCUCGUCGUAUUUUCCGUUGGGCGCCAGCCUAGUCUUUCCCGACAAUAGUUACUGCUUCUGGCCGAUCUUGUAUUUUCCGACUUAACUCGCUCGCCUAAAGCAGUUUUCUAAAAGCAAUUUUUCUACUCAAUAAUGUCGCGCUUGCUCCGAUAUAUGCGUUCUCGACAUUUACUUUACGAUGACUGUGCGACCGGCGAAUGGAGAAGGCAACCGAGUCUCGCGCCCGAAUCUCCGGGAUCCCUACGCUCGAGAUUCUCUCGAGCACGGCUUUUGUCGCCCAGUGACGUGGCCUCCAAAUCUCGUAAGUCCGUGCGACCCACCGUCCGGGCACCAUGGACCUCUAAAGAGUUCGAAUUCCCGGUCCCCUUAUCGCGCCUAUGCCGCCGAGAAGCAACGGCAACCGACUCGGAAUCCUUCCGCAACUUUAUUUAUUUUAACUCGCGGCUGUACAUAGCUUUCGCUCACCCACUCGCCACCAGAAGCUCGCAUCUCUUCCUCGGGAUUUCGUCCCUCUAGUACAGCAACUUCGCUCGUUCGUUAUCGCGCUGGAACAUCUCGCUUUCUCGCCGUCGGGCCGCACAGUGACGAGCGGGGCUCUUCACUCAGCACAGGAGGCAGCCGUCGCAAGGAUCUGUCACGCCGAUCGGUGCGGCAUCCGAUUGGUUCUCCUAGCUAGAUCACGCGUGUCAAGAGUGCUCACGGGAGCCUCACGUCUGGUGUCGUUACUUCGACGCUUGCUUUUGUUUUCUCCCCGGGACGACUUUCAGCAACUAUUGGGCGCAGUUCACAAGCUUCCGGGCGCGCUUUCCGCGGGAUCCUCUCCUGCCUGCUCUGCGACCGGGUCGCGGGGCCUUGCGCCUUUCUUAGCGUAAGGUGGCUAUCCCGCUAUUUGUCACCAACCGUCCGUCUGAGCGAAGAUCUCCCCGUCCUUCCACGUGUCGCUUUAGCCGCCCCUUCAGCAUCCUCGCCCUCUUUCGCCCUCGGGGCCUCCCGAUUCUUUUCCGUUUUUUUUGGUCCGGUUUUCUGGCUUAUUUGGGGGGGGGGGUGAUCUUACAUUUAAAAAAAAGAUAUAUACUCGCCGCGGGUCGCGUCUUGUGCGCAAAACGGCGCUCGAAACAAAAAUCAAUUUAUUCGAUCGAGGAAGCGCGAGUUUCCGGCUCCUCCUCGACCAGGCCACAGACCUGAGUAACGAGCAAAAUUUUGCAUCGUCACAACGUAACAAUAUAUAUUCAAUGAUACGUGCCCGCAAACAGACUUUCGGGAUUUUAAUGAUGCUCCGCCAAACGUAUCCGUUGAUUAAAACGGUAGAAACUCUUGGAAACCUUUCUAGGAACCCUCGCUAGGAACCGCAUAAUCAAGAAAAAGUGUACUCCAACUUGUUAGCUAACAUAUUAACCGUAGGUCCAAACAAGUACGCCGUUUACUAAACAAAAAAGAAGAGACGUUACUAAUUUAUAAGCAGAAUUAUAUUAUAUAAACAUAUGCGAGACGUUUCAUAAGUUAUCAUUAACGUUCAUAAAACGUUCAUAAAACGUUAAAAAACACUUAAAACUGGUUACCGCUCGACAAACGUUUAUUUAUCGCUUCUUAUCGUUUAUCAGUCAUUUGUCAGACGUUUAUUUAGUGUUUUUCAUCGUUUGUUAGACGUUUUUUUACCGUUUUUACCGUUUGCCAGCCAUUUAUCGUUUUUUAAAAUCGUUUUUCACUUUUUUUACUGUUUCCUUGAAGUUUGAGAGCCGUUUUUAUCAUUUGGUAGCUGUUUUACAGUGCGGAGCCCCGUUUAUUACCUGUUAAUUUGCGCGGGAAGGGGCGAGCAUAGACCACCGCGAACACGGAUGGAAGCAAGUAUCACAAACGCAGACACGGGCGAUCGAGUGCAAAUCAUCGCGCGUGAGGGCAGAUUACCAGGGGAUGGAGGAGGCAAAAACGGACCACCGUAAACGCGGUCGCAAACAUAGCGGACGAGCGCGUGCGGAUCGCCGCAGAUGGAAGUGAACAUUGCGAUGGGAUCCAUCAUGAAAUACCUGGGCCUCAUCUUGGAUGGCAUCUGGAGGUUUAAACUUCAUUUUGAGGCCGUAAUUCACAGGAUGAACGGGACGGCCAACGCAUUAGGGCCUCUGUUCGGGUCGGUGAAGCGAUGGCCGACCGGCGUAUCAAGACAAUCAACAAUCGCAGCGCUAGAUGGCCAUCUGCCUCGCCAGGGAACCACAGAUCGUGACUUAAGCGGCUGCUACGUUUCUUGCGGGUAUAGUGCCCGCGGAGCUCCUCGCACAAAUGCACCGGAAGAUAUAAGCGCAUUAGGGAACUUCGUGGAAAUGAAGAAGGAAACCUCACCGCGAGGGCUGUCGUGAGAAAGCUGAUUCGGCAGCGGAUCGUCCUGCGCUGAAAGCUUCAGUUGGAUGACCUGUAAACUCCGGGCCGUCGGACCAUCGACGCCAUUGGGCCUGUCUGAAAGAAUAGCUAGACAAAGGCUACGGCGGGCUGACCUAUAGAUUAACGCAGAUAUUAACCGGGCACGGUUGCUUUGGUGACUAUCUGUGUUAAUCAGGAAGGAGUGCACGGUAGCUUGCCAUAACUACGCGGCCGACUGGGACUCUGAAAUAUAAACUGGAAUUUUUCCCAACGUGGGCAGCGGAAUGCGCAACCCUGGUCGCAGAGGUGGAGGGGAUCUAUUGCUCGUGAGCUUAGUUCGCGCAAUGCGUGAGCGAGAGGAACUAGAUGGCAGUCUUCUCCUUUCGUGAGGAAGUUAUAACGCUGAAGGAGGAGGCCGAGAGGUACAGGAAGGAGGAGAUCAAGCCUCUACCUGACCGAGGAAAACAGAGUGGGAGGGAGGGGGAGGGGACCCACCUAGAAGAAGAAAGAGAAGACUGGGGGUCUCCCCUCUCUGCCAACAAGAAAAGGAGAGGAUAACGCCUCGCCGAAGGAAUGGAUUGUCCGCCUCCAGGAGGAGGCGCCGCACUCCCCCGUUAAGGCGGGGCACUGAUCGGGACAGUGACUUCCCAAACCUAAGGCCCAGCCGAGAUGGGUUCCCGGUCCAGGAUGGAUAAAUCAUUUCCGUCCCGGGCGCAGUAGAUGAAUUCCUGUGGAAAAUGGAGGGGGUAAGAUUCAACUGCCCUCCUCCUCCUUCAGAUAGAAUGCGUUCUCUUCCACGGCACAUAUAAUAAAACCGCGGGAGGAGACAGAGAGAUUGAGGUCCGACGUGUGCGAUAAGUUAUUCCAAAACUACUUUGAACCCUCCCCCCUUUUAGGGAGAGAGUAAAUAGUCCGGCCAAGCAAACCGAGGGGAGCCGUACGGAGGAGGUUGCCAUUCUCCUCUACGACCAUGGACACCCUCCGGUCUUGGACGGAUGACUAUACCGGCGGCGGGGACAAACAUGGUCCUCGCCACCGGACGAGAAAGGUCUUCGGUCCAGAGUGGAAAAAAAACCGCACACACAGUCCCCUGGGCGUCUCUAUACGGGACCCUGGGGAGACUACGGAGGCGAAUCUUUGUUCCCUUUACAAUCCUCCCCGGAGCGUAAGAUCUAUUAAGGCCCACUGACCGAGUUUUUGGUUGGCGGGCCUCCAGACAAGGGGAUUCGGAGUUCCCGAGCUCCAAUCUCACGAGGGGGGCAUGGCGGAGGGCCGCUUCCCGUCACAAAAAGGAAAGACCGGAGGUAAAGUAAAAUCCCCCCGAUCAAUAAAAAUACAGAUGCGAUGAGGGUUCCCAGGAAGAAUGCUACAAGCUCUGCCCGGGGCGCCUUCAUGAAGUUGCAGUGAAAGCCAACCGUGGCGUUUUUAGUCGGUAAGAAUCCGGCAUUACCUGCGGAGCUUCCCCGAUUUCCGCGGAUAUCCAUGAUGAAUUUUCCCCACGGGACUUUUCCCCAUGUAAAAAAAUUAAUGAAGGCGAACUGGUGCUGUAGGCAGCACCUUAUGAUAAGAAACAUACAUAUACACACUCACGUACACAUUUUAGCUGACCAUCGAUCCGUAAUAAUCAAAAAGGGAAACUCCAGUGUAGGCAGAUUAAAUAGCAACCGUAAGGUCCAGACAAAAAGUACACUGUCUGUCGACUGAAAGACGUUACCAAUUUAUAAAAAGAAUUAUAAAGCUUAUAGAAUUAUAAGACUUUUCAUAAGCUGUAUUAUAAAGAUGUGUAAAACAUAUGUGAAACAUUAAAAAACGUUUAAAUAUAUAAUAUAAACAGUCGUAAAACGUACGUAAAACGAUAAAUACUUUCAAAAGCAUGUUUACCAUUCGUCAACCGUUUAUUUACUAUUUGUCAACUGUUUAUUUACCGUUUUUUAUGUUUCUUUGCCGUAUAUUUAUCGUCUAUCAACCAUUUUUUUACCGUUUAUCAACCGUUUUUACUACGCGGGACAUCGUUUAUUUAUAUGAGAAUGAGUGAGCGCAGACCAUCGUGAAUGCGGGUGGGGGUGAGUGCGGAUCGCCGCAAUCGCGAAACGUGAAUCGUCGUGGGCAUGUGAACGUAGGCCGACACAGGUGGGAAACGAACAGGUGCUGUUGGUUACUGGAAGGAUAUGCAGAGUGGUAUCCGGCCGUUGGAAGAGAUACCGACGGUCGGGUACCGGUAAUAAAAUGAUGUCAGUCCCAACGUGUAACGUUAGCUCUCUCCCCUGCGUGAUGUCAGUUUUAUAUUCCCACAUGUUCUCCCUUUCCCGCGUGACAUUAGCCCACGCACUUUGCGGUACCCGCCUUCCCUCGUGUAAUAUUAGCCUCCUGUGCCUACAAGUUCUUCCCUCUCCUGCAUGACAUCAAUCUCUGUACGCCUAUAAGUUACCCUUCUCCCGCACCUGUUUUGAAGACCCUGAGUUAAAACCAAUCUUAUAUACCUACUUUUAUGGAAAUAAAGAAGCAUUAUGCAUCGAAAAAACAAGUUAUUUCCUCCCAUUUUCAAAUCAUGCCAAGUGUUGCAGAUUAAUCGAGUCUUGCUGCAAUGAAACGACCAAAGCGCCCGGGCUGCCACGCGCCAGGCGAGGAAGUCUCACGCGCCGGAUUCUCGCCGCCGUAACUCGCGGUGACUAUAAGAGAGCGUUUCGCAGGAGAGAGCGCGACAUACCACUUUCGUCUGCCAUAGCACUACGGUAAUCGUAUUCUUCGCGUGCAUUUUUAGUUCUGUUGGGUUCUUUUGGAUUCCUUGGGGUUGUACGAUCAUCUUAGGGGGGUAGUUUUGCCUUUUGUGCCUUAGUGUUUUCCUGGUGUCGGAACAUCGUUCCGAAUUCAUAGCCGUGUGCGCCGCAGGGUCUUUUAGUCACAGGACUGUAAGAUAAAUCAGCGGAGAUCCUCCGACAAACAAAUUAAUCCUUACGAUCGCCGAUUAAUUCAGUGUCGAGCGUAACUCGACAGGUCUGCAGUGAACAUCACCUUUGGGAACGGCAAUAUCCGUCUCUCCGUACGCCUGCGAGUUACAGGGGGAAACUCACCUACAGUCGAACAAUACUUUGUCUACUGCCGAGACGCACUGACUAAAUUCACACAGAAGAGGACUUAAAUUUAGAGCGAUGAGUCGUCUCCGACACAUUUUCGGCUUUAAGCCCCAUUGAACGCUGAAAAGUAUUCAUACGUGCGCCUAUAACGCACUUCCUGGAUCCGACGGUGAACUUAAUGCACGGGGACGUCAUCUACCGAGAAAUUCGCACGGAUUUUUCGGACAA